UGGAUUGUGCUUUCUCUCCCCCUGCCAAGGGGCUCUGCUUCAAAAGCCCAGAUUAGAAAAGAUGGGACAUUUGGGGAAAAAAAAAAAAAAAAAAAAAAAGAGCUUGUGCUAUCUUGGCAUUUCCUGUUCCAAUAGCAGAUUUCUUAUGCUUUGAUGAUUCCAGAGUGAGAACACAAAUUGUUAAGUGGAUUGGGGGUGGGAGGUUCUAGUGAGGGAGAAAAGCUUAUUACUUCGGGCCUCUUGCUGUGGCUCUGCACCCUCCUUGCUGCCCUUCAGCCAGAGUGCUCCUGGAGGCCAGGGACUCCAUCUCCCAGGCCUCAGUGCCCAUUAGAUGUUCAACAAAUGUAUGGAUUAAAGAUCUCUUACCCCUCUUGAAAAUUUGUUUUCCAGCCUGGCCAGGCACUGAAUAUGUCCUGAGAGCUAAUGUGGUAUCGACUGAUUAAAGCUGAGAAGAGCAAUGAUGAGGAGGAGGCAUAAGCAGAGAGGAGGUUGGAAGGAAGAACAGUGGCCUGGAAGGAAGAGAGAAGCAUGCGUCCCAGCAGUCAGGACUGGAAUUCAAGCCACUACAAUAGAAGCAGAGCAAAGGAGCCCUUUAGACCUCCCAUCUCAGAGGACCUGGUUGAUUUCUCAAAUCUCUUCACUUCCAUGGGUUAUAAAAAUGACGAGGAAAUGGAGGCUGAGCAACUUGCACAAGGUCACACAGCAAGUAAAUCAUAGCACAGAAAGCAUGAGACCAGUGAUACAAGAAAAACUUUAGACAAGAUUCAUGGAGUACAUGUGCAGCUUUUUUACCUGGGUACGCUGU